rnacentral:lncRNA from 1 species
CUGUCUUCCUCAUCCCCUUCGGCUCGAUCUCAGACGUGUAAACUCUGCGUGACCGAGUUCCUCCCCGUUGUUGCCGCGGCCAUUGCACGCCCCUCUGCACACAGGCGAGUCCAGGAGGACCGCCGUCGUCCACUAUGCCGUCUGCGGCCACGAGGUCAAGCCGGGAGCCCCCACAUCGACCUGAUCGAGGUCAUCUUCAACCUCCGCCCCGCUGCUUGCCGUCUUCGAUUUGGCCUCAUCGGAACCUCCCCGAGCCCACUUUUCUCACCUACAGGCUCGAUGUGAGCUCCUCUCUCCGUUCCCCUUUUCUUUCCCCUCAAAUUCAUCGUCGUUUGGCCGCCCCAGGCAUUGGCCGCCAUGACCGGGAGCUCGUCUUCGCGCACCCGCACCCGCACGCCCCUGUUCGCUGCUCCAUUGACGCGCCCCUAGCCGCGCUUGCGGGCCUCUGGCCGCGUCGGGCCACGGCUUUGGCCGCCCAGCGCGCGCCACGCCCGCCUCCGCCUUCCACCGCCUGCGGCUGACGCCGCGCGCCGUGGUCACGCGCCGCUGCUGGUCGCGACCCAGCCGCCCUCGCGCGGGCCAGCGCCCACAUCGCUGGCGGUCGACCACGCCUGGGCCGUGCCCUGCUCCCUUUCCGCCCCGUGUGCUGGGCACCGGCCGCCGGCGCACCAGUGCGUGCGGCUGUGCGUGCUCCCAGCCGUGGCCUCUGGCCACUGUAAGAUUGGGGGCGACCAGACUAAUUGGGGAUUAACUUUGUUUUAUUAUUAGUUUCAUUAGUUAGAUGGCCCUAUGACUAGUGGCCCCCACUGCUAAUUAAUGUAACUUAACUAAAGUCUAUCUGAGUCUAGUCACUGACAAGUGGCCCCAGUCAACCCAUUGACCAGUCAAACUGCUGAUUGGGUUAUCCCAGUUAAUGACAUGCGGGUCCCCUUGUCCCUUUGACUAGUCAACAGUCUCAGUUGACUGCAGUCUGGGCAGUCAACAGGACCCCACCUGUCAGCCUCUAUGCUUCUUUGCUGUGUAUACUUUGUGUGUGCACGUAGCAAUUUAAUCUUUAUUUUCGAAUUAGUUUUAAUUCCAGAAUAUUAAUAAAACUUAGAAAUUUAAUAGAAAUUAAACCGUAACUCGGAUGAAAAUGUUUUCUACAUGAAAGUUGCUCAGAAAAACGAGACGAAUCCGUAUGCACGGUCCGUUUACCUGUCAGAUGCCUCUAACUAUCUGAACAUGGAACAUUCCCCCUCCGGUCAUCUGUCUGACAUAGGUCCGGAACCGGGAAAACAUUCCCGGUUGAAUUCUCCCUUCUCCUAUAUCGUGUAGCCAUACGUUAGGUCACACCCGGCACAGCAUAUUGCCAUGUUAUGCUUUGUGAUGCUAUGUUUGCUUUAUAUUCACUGUUUCUUCCCCCUCUUCUCUCCGGUAGACCCCGAGACCGAUGCUGCCCGUGUGAUCGACUACGUCACCGACGACCCCUCCUUGCCAGAGCAACCAGGCAAGCCCCCCCUUUGAUCAUCCCGAUAUCUCCCAUUCCAUUCUUUCAUGCUUGCAUUAGAUUUUGCUACUGUUAUUGAUUGCUCCUAUUCUGAUGCAUAGCCUGCUUUUGUAUCUGCUAUUGUACCUUGCCUGCUUAUCCUAAACUGCUUAGUAUAGGUUGGUUAGUGAUCCAUCAGUGACCCCCACCUUGUCCUUGUUGCCCCUACUUCAUCAUGGAAGACCCGAUCAACGGGAUCGAAGACCAGGACCCGACACCUCACGUCACAUCACGCCCCUUCGUUGCUCGACUCUGCAGAGUUACUAUUGAGUGCCGAGGGUGAGACCUCUACAGCACUUCUGAUGUUAACCCUGUAGUGUAGCUAUUCGGUCGUGGUCAUCGAGGGUGAUUCCGCCUUAACCACUUCCGAUACGACUCUGUCGUGCAACCCCUCAAGUGUGAACCUCGAGGGUGGUCCCUCUUACGUUCACCUUGAUGAUUACAUCGAGUGGAGUUCACCGGGGGUGAUUCCUCGGGUUUUCCCCUUGAUGCUUAGACACAUAGAUACUAUGAUUACUAUGACUUUACAACUGUUACUUGGAAUGGCGGGUCGACCCUGAGGGGUACCCGCGAGUGAUGUGGAGAUGGGUUGACCUGGAGGGUGCCCGUGAGAUAAUUACAAGGCGUGGCCGGGCAUUCUUAGCCCUUGCCGCAAGUCCUCGAGACAGGGCAACGGGGUCACAUCUUUCGUGAGUCUCUGUUUGUUACCGCGCGUUCCUAAUCCACUACGAUUUGGAUAUUUGAUCCGAGGGGCCUCUGGCCUGAUAGCACUAACCAUCACGUGGGCAUAGUAUGGGCGUUCUGCGUCGUGUGCAUCAGCCGAAGCUUAAUAUACGUCAGCGACUGAGCGGCGCACGCCGGGUUGGACUGGUAAGCACCUACCUUUUUAAGGAGGUAGCUAGGUCUGCUCACCGGCCGCGUUCGCAACAUGCAUGAGUUCCCGGGGAGAUGGCCCAUGACCCCUGGGGGCAUAGGUUUAGUCCGGCGUGCUGGCCUCUCUAUUAAGCCUAGGUCGGGUUGCGGCGUAUUGUUUGGCCGAGGCCGGGCAUGACCCAGGAAAGUGUGUCCGGCCGGAGUUAAUCGAGCGUGGUGGGUAAGUUGGUGCACCCCUGCAGGGAAGAAAACAUCUAUCGAUAGCCUGUCCUACGGUAACGGACACUCGGAGUUGUAUCCCGAUUGAUACAACUAGAACUGGAUACUUAUGAUGAGAACUGGAUGGUGAUGAGAAUUGGAUUGUGAUGAUAACUGGAUAGUAUGGCUCUGGGAUUGCUUUCUUGCAGGGUGUCGAGAAAGGAUCUCCGGCCGAGGUUGAUAACACUACUACUACUUUACUCUAUGCUACUCUACUCCCUCCUGAUUGCUGCAAGAUGGUGGUUUUCCAGAAGAUGCUAGUCUUCGAUAGGACUAGGCCUUCUCUCUAUUCUGGCAUUUCUGCAGCCCAGUCCACAUAUACAACCCAUUUAAUUGAUACCGAUGCAUAUGUAGUGUAGAUCCUUGCUUGCGAGUACUUUGGAUGAGUACUCACGGUUGCUUUGCUCCCCCUUUUCCCCCUUUCUUCUUCUUUCCGGUUGAUGCAAUCAUAUGUCGGAGCCCAGGAGCCAGAUGCUAUCGUCGAUGCCUACUACUACACGGAGACCGCCGAUGACCAGGAGUAGUUAGGAGGCUCCCAUGCAGGAGGCCUUGCCUUUUCGAUCGUUGUUGCUUUUGUGCUAGUCUUCUUAAGGCAACUUGUCUAACCUAUGUCUGUACUCAGAUAUUGUUGCUUCCGCUGACUCUUGUGUAAUCGAGCUUAUGUAUUCGAGCCCUCGAGGCCCCUGUCUUGUAAUAUAAAGCUUGUA